AGUGAACGCUGGCGGUAGGCCUAACACAUGCAAGUCGAACGGCAGCACAGUAAGAGCUUGCUCUUACGGGUGGCGAGUGGCGGACGGGUGAGGAAUACAUCGGAAUCUACUUUUUCGUGGGGGAUAACGUAGGGAAACUUACGCUAAUACCGCAUACGACCUACGGGUGAAAGCAGGGGAUCUUCGGACCUUGCGCGAUUGAAUGAGCCGAUGUCGGAUUAGCUAGUUGGCGGGGUAAAGGCCCACCAAGUCGACGAUCCGUAGCUGGUCUGAGAGGAUGAUCAGCCACACUGGAACUGAGACACGGUCCAGACUCCUACGGGAGGCAGCAGUGGGGAAUGUUGGACAAUGGGCGCAAGCCUGAUCCAGCCAUACCGCGUGGGUGAAGAAGGCCUUCGGGUUGUAAAGCCCUUUUGUUGGGAAAGAAAAGCAGCAGGUUAAUACCCCGCUGUUCUGACGGUACCCAAAGAAUAAGCACCGGCUAACUUCGUG
rnacentral:rRNA from 1 species